rnacentral:rRNA from 1 species
AGUGAACGCUGGCGGUAGGCCUAACACAUGCAAGUCGAACGGCAGCACAGAGGAGCCUGCUCCUUAGGUGGCGAGUGGCGGACGGGUGAGGAAUACAUCGGAAUCUACUCUGUCGUGGGGGAUAACGUAGGGAAACUUACGCUAAUACCGCAUACGACCUACGGGUGAAAGCAGGGGACCUUCGGGCCUUGCGCGAUUGAAUGAGCCGAUGCCGGAUUAGCUAGUUGGCGGGGUAAAGGCCCACCAAGGCGACGAUCCGUAGCUGGUCUGAGAGGAUGAUCAGCCACACUGGAACUGAGACACGGUCCAGACUCCUACGGGAGGCAGCAGUGGGGAAUAUUGGACAAUGGGCGCAAGCCUGAUCCAGCCAUACCGCGUGGGUGAAGAAGGCCUUCGGGUUGUAAAGCCCUUUUGUUGGGAAAGAAAUCCAGCUGGCUAAUACCCGGUUGGGAUGACGGUACCCAAAGAAUAAGCACCGGCUAACUUCGUGCCAGCCGCCGCAGUAA